UUCGGUGAUGAUAACCUAGGAAGUGCCGUCCGAUGCGAUAACUGACGAUGGAAUGAACUGUUACCUGAGG
ensembl:snoRNA